CUGUUUCCAGUUGGACUUCACUUUGAGGCUUAACAUAUCAAAGUGAGUAUAAAGUUCUACAAUUUAGUCAUUGUGGAUUUUAUGUCAUUUAUGAUGAAAAUGGAAAUGUGUAGUUAAGAAAAUUUUCUUCUUCUGUAACAUCUAACUCUUCAUCCUCAUCAUCUUCUGCUUGUUGAUCCUUUCUUAGUCGACAAGUGGAUACCUGUCUUGUUCCAGAUACACACUUAGCUGACAGUGAUCUCUGAAGAGGUGACUUUGAAUUCGCUCUUACAGUAUCUAAACAAGAUGAAUAAUCUGGUGCAUACAGAGAAUUUCGGAAAACCUCUAAAUCUUCAUCUUCAUCAAUGUUUUGUAUAUUCCGGUAGGCAGCAGUGUAGACCUCUAAAGCUUUGCCGUGAAAUAACAUUUCGAUUGUGAUAAAUUCAGAAAAUAUAGUCUUUAUAUCCUUCAUUUUCUGCCUUUCAAAGUUGUUAAUAGUUUCCUCCAGAUGACGACUUGUUCGGCUAGCAUCCAUUGCAGUUCUCUGUAAUUCCGUUUCUGCCUGUGAAAUAACAUGUCGAUCAGAUGGGUUUCGCUGACGUGUUCUUUCUAACUGAGUUAAUUGCUUAGCUUCUCGAUUCCUUGCUGUGAAUGUUGCUUUGAGGUCAUCCCGUUUCAUUUUCACAAUGGUCCCAUAAGCUUUCAAGGGGGUUCAACUACUUUGGCUUCAAGUCUUUCAACCUCUGCUUGUCGAUAAUCCUGAAGUUUGGCAAACUCAUCAUCAAAGUUCAUCAGGCCCAGCUUUAAAUGUGGGGUCUCUGUAGCAGCAUACGCAUUGAUUUCAUUCACCAGGUGGUCUGCUUUGUCUCUCAGCCUGGCAGUUUUCCGCACAUAGGCAGCGAAGAUUUGGCACAGUUCUCCAAAAUGCUUCUCCACAUUUGAGACAGCUGUUUGCAGUUGUUUCGUUUGAGCGUUCCGAUUUUCCAGGGUGCACCUCAUCAUGCUGCCUCGCGCACGGCAGGGGACCUUGCGGGG
rnacentral:lncRNA from 1 species